AGAGUUUGAUCCUGGCUCAGGACGAACGCUGGCGGCGUGCUUAACACAUGCAAGUCGAACGGAAAGGCCCUUCGGGGUACUCGAGUGGCGAACGGGUGAGUAACACGUGGGUGAUCUGCCCUGCACUUUGGGAUAAGCCUGGGAAACUGGGUCUAAUACCGAAUAGGACCACGCGCUUCAUGGUGUGUGGUGGAAAGCUUUUGCGGUGUGGGAUGGGCCCGCGGCCUAUCAGCUUGUUGGUGGGGUAAUGGCCUACCAAGGCGACGACGGGUAGCCGGCCUGAGAGGGUGACCGGCCACACUGGGACUGAGAUACGGCCCAGACUCCUACGGGAGGCAGCAGUGGGGAAUAUUGCACAAUGGGCGCAAGCCUGAUGCAGCGACGCCGCGUGAGGGGUGACGGCCUUCGGGUUGUAAACCUCUUUCAGUAGGGACGAAGCGAAAGUGACGGUACCUACAGAAGAAGGACCGGCCAACUACGUGCCAGCAGCCGCGGUAAUACGUAGGGUGCGAGCGUUGUCCGGAAUUACUGGGCGUAAAGAGCUCGUAGGUGGUUUGUCACGUUGUCCGUGAAAACUCACAGCUUAACUGUGGGCGUGCGGGCGAUACGGGCAGACUGGAGUACUGUAGGGGAGACUGGAAUUCCUGGUGUAGCGGUGGAAUGCGCAGAUAUCAGGAGGAACACCGGUGGCGAAGGCGGGUCUCUGGGCAGUAACUGACGCUGAGGAGCGAAAGCGUGGGGAGCGAACAGGAUUAGAUACCCUGGUAGUCCAA
rnacentral:rRNA from 1 species